GUGUCAUGAUGCCUCCAUUGCACACUGGUGACAGUUGUCCCCCAUUCCUGAGGGUGUUUACGUAAUUGACUUCCUCCUGCACAUGUGAAGAAAUGCAGAGAUUAGCAGCUAAGUCACUGGUCUUCCAAAUUUGUUCUCUACUUCAUUAAAACUACUCUUUUAAUUGUAUUCAGUGACUCCACAACGAAUUCCAUUUAGAUCAUCUAAGAAUUGAUUCUAGACUUCUUAUUCCUAUAAUCUCCAAUGACAUCUUUCUCUCCGUGAAGCCCUGAGACUUUACCAUUUAUAAAAAGUCCAAAAUAAUUAGGAGAAAGCAGAGGGCCUUAACACCUGUGGAACUGCCCAGAGAAUGCCAUCUUCCCUCUACAUCCUCUUUGUACUACAAGUCUGAAUCUGGAUAAUUUUAUUAUUAAAACAGUAUCAACAUGUCAACAAGAUCCCAUUCUAACAGAGCUACCCGAAUGUUUAGUUUGUAAACCUAACUUAUGAUGAUUUGUAAAUGAAAGUCAUAUUGAUUAGGUUUUCUUGUAUAUCCUAUUAAUAAACCCAUGAUGUCCAAAUUUAAAAACAUA